rnacentral:rRNA from 1 species
GCCUACGGGACGCAGCAGUAGGGAAUAUUGCUCAAUGGGGGAAACCCUGAAGCAGCAACGCCGCGUGAACGAGGAAGGUCUUCGGAUCGUAAAGUUCUGUUGAAGGGGAAAAAGAGCGGAGAGAGGAAAUGAACUCCGAUUGAUAUUACCCUUCGAGGAAGUCACGGCUAACUACGUGCCAGCAGCCGCGGUAAUACGUAGGUGGCGAGCGUUAUCCGGAAUGAUUGGGCGUAAAGGGUGCGUAGGCGGCCUGCUAAGUCUGGAGUGAAAGGUACCGGCUCAACCGGUACAGGCUCUGGAAACUG